AGACAAACUGCCAUGAAUAGCUAUUUCCAAAUUUUCAAAGUGGGCAUACAAGGUAGAGUAUGCCCAGUAAAAUAAUAGCUAUGGAGUAAUUUGGCUAAAUAUCCUGGCCUGGGAUAUUUUUGUGGCAGAAAGAAAAAGUGUCACACCUGGCUUUCAUCAAACUGAUUUUGUGACAAAUGUAUUAAAUACAGUGUGCUCGUUAACAUGUUACAUGUGGGCUGAGUGUUUUACUGGAAAAACUUGAUAUUAAUGGGUGAAAAGCCUGAAUAAAAAGGCAUGCUUAAGAAAUUAUCUGAUGAAUAAUGAGACACCUUCAAACAACAAAGAAAUAAUUGAGCUGAAUUGAAAUUCACUGUAUAUCACUCAGAAGUGAUAUACAAGGGGGGAAAUGAAGGAAAUCAGGAAAAAAAAAAUCAAUUAUAAAUGAUAUAGUCUGCAACUGGAAUGAUAUGGGUUCUAGCCUUUUCACUCUACUGGUGUUAAGAAAAAAAAGCCAGCUCUUAGUCCACAUAAAUUUUUCCUCACAGGCCACCUCAAUAAGGAUCGACUGGAUGAUGAGUAAAUGUGUUGUCUCUAACAAAAGCAUUUUAAGGUCUCCUUUCACAGGUAGAAGUAGUUCUGCUGAAAUCAGGGAUGGUUUACUGCGCUAAUCUGGACUGUCCAAGUGAUAGAGCGAGAUACAUGGCGGAGCAUCCUGACUUCACACCAGGCGUGCUUCUAACUCUGGCAGAGGCAGAAGAGUCCCCAACACUUGAAGGGGGACCAACAAGGAGAAUGAGCAAACUCAACUGGUGGCUUAAAAGCCCACUGUUUGUUCCAACUGAUAAAGAGCCUGCCAGAAUCAAAGAAAGAUUGAGGAGCAACUCAGUCAGUGUUUGAGAAAAAAAAAGGAGAAUGCAAGAGAGGCUGAUUAAAUCAUCUUGAUACUGAAAUCAUCCUGAUACAGCGCGGAAUGAAGAAAUUACGAUGUGGUUUAUCUGUAUGACAUUACUGAUAAUGUCGUUUUAGCUGAUUUAAGUCACUGUAUAUUGAUAUACUAUUUAGGCUUUAAAAGUAAUUUUGUUAGAUUGCCUUACACUGGAUACAUUAUCAUCACAGGCUAAAAUUAAAAUAAAAAGGAAGUAUAAGUUAUAUCAGUGGAAAAAAUUGACCAAAUUUCAAAGUCCAGGUGAUUAUUAUAUAAUUAUUUCUUAUGGUGGCCCACAUCUGACUGUCCUGGUGAAAAUCUAAUAGUUAAAUUAUGGAUAUCUGUCUGAGGUUGAAGAGAUAUUCUAACCUUUAUAAACCAAAGAUGUGAACAAGAUAUCAUGCAAUGCAAUACAUUGACAUUUGCCUUUUGGUCUCUGUUGCAGGCUUUGAUUAAGAAUUAUGUGUGUGAAUAUUACUAAAAUUGGUAAUACACCUAGCUGUACUGGAAGCCUGCUCACCUGUACAUAUUUCUUUGUAAAUAUGGGUGAGGAAAACUGGCUAGAUAAUGAAGAUAUACAAUACACUAGCCAAUCAUAUUUUUAAGUCUGAGGCCAAGGAAAAGGUACAAGGCUUACACUUACCUGCACUGCAAACCUAAUAGACUAUGACUAAAGAGCAAAGUGUGGUGUAGUAGGAAUAUCAUGUUGAACAUAUAUCCCUAAUAAUGAUGUUGAUUGAUUUAGGUUUACUGAAUAUGAAUAUAAAUGCUUAGGAAGCAUAGGCAAAGGAAGUAGUGAAUACUCAGAAUGAUUUUUGUCUUGAUUCACAAGUUGGUAAAGAUUCUUUAAGUGCCAUGAUAAACAGAACUGUUAAAUGUACAGAUCUUAAGUGGAAUGAGAAAAACGUUGAUCGGAUGUUAAGGAAUUGGGCAGAGAGCCUUUAUGAUGUUUAUUAUAUAAACAAAUGGGGGAACUGUUAGAUUAUAUAACACUCUCUGCCCGAUAUUACUGUGAGUUUUCCUGUUUGUGCUCUCUUUCUCUCCUAUCUACUGUACUUCUUUUUGUGGGUCAGCUUUUUUUUUAAAAAAAAAAAGUAUAUAUAGUUUGAAUAACAGGAUGCCUCCAUAGGCGGAGCUGGGAGCGGGGGUUGUCUGAGCUAUGGAAAAUCAAAGAAUUCAUAUUUUUUCAUUUUAUUUAUAUUAUCUUAUUAUUUUAGUUGAUAGAAUAAGUACGUUUUGGGUAAAUUAAUUUCCAUUUAAGCCCCAUAUCCUCGCAAGUCGAAACAAGAAACAAGUUUCUCAGUUAUGAGGAAAGUAGAAAACUGGCUCCGAACUUCAGUAGCACAUAUCUUUAGUUUCCCUCUUUUCACUUGCUUUCUAUUGCUUUUAAAUAGCUCGUAAAUGCUCUGUGCACGUUUUACGUUCACUUUUAAAUUACGUUAAACUCAACGUUAAACUCACUUAAACUCACUUGCAGCCUAUAAAUUAAUCAUAGAACUUUUAUUAACAAAACGAAUAAAAAUAGCUUACACCAUGCCAUAUGCCUACAAUAACGAAUAACUUAGGCUAGGCCUACAUACAUUUUAAAUAUACAAAACUGAAAAUCGGUAAUGGAACCAAAUAAAUAAAAAACGUAAAACGUUUAUUAGCAAAACGAAUAAGAAAGAAAUUACACAAAGUAAAAAUCAGCAAACACUGUAGAACCAAAUAAGAAACGAAUGUUCAAAAAAACUCUCUUUGUGCAGCAGUCAUGUUACUUCUAAAUGUUUUUCAAUGUAGAAUAUGUAACAUAAAUAUAUGAAAUGUAGAACAUAUAUUAAAAACAAAUAAAGAAAUAAAUAAAUAAAAAAAAAAAAA